rnacentral:rRNA from 1 species
UACGAAGGGGGCUAGCGUUGCUCGGAAUUACUGGGCGUAAAGGGCGCGUAGGCGGAUACUUAAGUCGGGGGUGAAAGCCCGGGGCUCAACCUCGGAAUUGCCUUCGAUACUGGGUAUCUUGAGUUCGGGAGAGGUGAGUGGAAUGCCGAGUGUAGAGGUGAAAUUCGUAGAUAUUCGCAGGAACACCAGUGGCGAAGGCGGCUAACUGGUCCAUAAC